UACGGAGGGUGCAAGCGUUAUCCGGAUUUACUGGGUUUAAAGGGUGUGUAGGCGGGCAUUUAAGUCUGGGUGAAUCUCCGAGCUCAACUCGGAACUGCCUUGGAUACUAUUUGUCUUGAAUUAUGUUGAGGUUGGCGGAAUAUAACAUGUAGCGGUGAAUGCAUAGAUAUGUUAUAGAACACCGAUUGCGAAGGCAGCUAACUAAGCAUAUAUUGACGCUGAGGCACGAAGCGUGGGAUCAACAGG
rnacentral:rRNA from 1 species